rnacentral:rRNA from 1 species
AUUGAACGCUGGCGGCAGGCCUAACACAUGCAAGUCGAACGCGUGGCGGACGGGUGAGUAAUGUCUGGGCAAAUGCCCGAUGGAGGGGGCUCACUACUGGAAACGGUAGCUAAUACCGCAUACCAUCAGAUGUGCCCAGAUGGGAUUAGCUAGUUGGUGGGGUAAAGGCUCACCAAGGCGACGAUCCCUAGCUGGUCUGAGAGGAUGACCAUGCACACUGGAGCUGAGACACGGUCCAGACUCCUACGGGAGGCAGCAGUGGGGAAUAUUGCACAAGGGGCGCAAGCCUGAUGCAGCCAUGCCGCGUGUAUGAAGAAGGCCGUCGGGUUGUAAAGUACUUUCAGCGGGGAGGCGUUACCCACAGAAUAAGCACCGGCUAACUCCGUGCCAGCAGCCGCGGUAAUAC